AACCUGUCGUGCGCGCGUGUCGCAGAUGUGCAUUGCAGAUGUUCGUUCACCAGCGAACCUGCAGCUGUCGAAUCUGCAGAGACCAGAGGUGAGCAACGACGUAGGGAAAUAGGGCUGGCGGGGGCACGUGGGUAACUUGGUCCUGGAGCAUUGGAGAAGGAGCAUACCACAAGGAAACCAACACGGUCAGUCAAAACCAAAUCUAGAUAAUCAUCAUGCUACUUCUAUGUUUUAUGUCUGUUUUUGUAUUGGCAGGUGGAUGCAAUCAAAACCACGAGACAAGAUAAUUUUGGCCACCAAAGUUGCCGGUUAUUCAGAGUGGUCUACAUUUCUUUGAGACAAUGCAAAAGUGGUUCGUGUUGGUGCUGCCAAUAUCAAAGAAAGUAUUGAAAUGAGUCUUAAACGCUUGUCUACAGAUUACAUUGAUUUGCUUCAGAUACACUGGGUUAUGUUGUGUACCUUGUCCGUGUGAGGCGUGGUGGUAGGAAGAGGCCUUUGCCCAAGUGUAUUAUCUAUGGCUAGCCCAAGCACCAGGGUAUCACCCAACUCAAGUUCUAGAGGUACAAGAGGUCUCUCGCUGAGGAGAGAGCUAGACGCAAGCUUGGUGGACUGAGGGUUCUUAACUCCUACUGGGUGAACGAGGUGGAGCUGCUAUUUAUGGAGAGGAGCGUUGAUAGCCAUUGUCCUGGGAUGGUAGUCCGCAUGGCUGAACG